GGGAGUGUGGCCGAGCGGUCAAAAGCGACAUGCCGUAAAUCUGGUGAAGAUUUUAUACGCAGGUUCAAAUCAUGCCUAUCCCA
rfam:Oryza sativa Japonica Group DNA, chromosome 8, cultivar: Nipponbare, complete sequence.